CAGCCGCGCGGUAAUACGUAGGUGGCAAGCGUUGUCCGGAAUUAUUGGGCGUAAAGGGCUCGCAGGCGGUUUCUUAAGUCUGAUGUGAAAGCCCCCGGCUCAACCGGGGAGGGUCAUUGGAAACUGGGAAACUUGAGUGCAGAAGAGGAGAGUGGAAUUCCACGUGUAGCGGUGAAAUGCGUAGAGAUGUGGAGGAACACCAGUGGCGAAGGCGACUCUCUGGUCUGUAACUGACGCUGAGGAGCGAAAGCGUGGGGAGCGAACAGGAUUAGAUACCCCUGUAGUCCCUGUCUCUUAUACA
rnacentral:rRNA from 1 species